UUAUAGACUAUUAUUUGAAGAUAUAACCUAAAACACUAAAAUGACAAGUAAACCUUUAAGGAUUUACGUUAUUUUGUGUCAACCUAAAAGUUGAAUUUUGAAGGUAAAAAUCAAAAUAUAGGCCAGGAGAUUUUAUACCCUGUCCUAGUUUUUUUCAAUUGCGAUGGUACCUACCUAAUUCGAAAAAUACAAAGAAAUGGGUUCAGUAGAUAUUAUUUCCCGACAAACCCCACAUCUAAAACCGCGACCGCGAGCCAAAGGAGUUCACCAAAAAAACUGAGGAAAAAAAAGAAUAUGCGGCUAAGGGAAAGGAAGGGAAGAGAGGGGUAACAAAAGAAGUUGAGUAUAAAUCCAAGGAGUCCAAGACAUCGUCAUAUAAUGUUGAAUAUUAAUGUACCUUGUUAUUUUUUUAUAAUGUAGGUAGUUAAAAAUAUAUUUUUAUGGUAUUGAUUUAGAAUGA